rnacentral:rRNA from 1 species
UACGGGAGGCAGCAGUGGGGAAUAUUGCACAAUGGGCGCAAGCCUGAUGCAGCCAUGCCGCGUGUAUGAAAAAGGCCUUCGGGUUGUAAAGUACUUUCAGUCGUGAGGAAGGUGUUAAGGUUAAUAACCUUAGCAAUUGACGUUAGCGACAGAAGAAGCACCGGCUAACUCCGUGCCAGCAGCCGCGGUAAUACGGAGGGUGCGAGCGUUAAUCGGAAUUACUGGGCGUAAAGGGCACGCAGGCGGUUAAUUAAGUUGGAUGUGAAUCCCCGGGCUUAACCUGGGAAUGGCAUUCAAGACUGGUUAGCUAGAGUCUUGUAGAGGGGGGUAGAAUUCCAUGUGUAGCGGUGAAAUGCGUAGAGAUGUGGAGGAAUACCGGUGGCGAAGGCGGCCCCUGGACAAAGACUGACGCUCAUGUGCGAAAGCGUGGGGAGCAAACAGGGAUUAGAUACC